rnacentral:rRNA from 1 species
CCUACGGGUGGCUGCAGUAGGGAAUCUUCGGCAAUGGACGAAAGUCUGACCGAGCAACGCCGCGUGAGUGAAGAAGGUUUUCGGAUCGUAAAACUCUGUUGUUAGAGAAGAAUGUUGAUUAGAGUGGAAAAUUAAUCAAGUGACGGUAUCUAACCAGAAAGGGACGGCUAACUACGUGCCAGCAGCCGCGGUAAUACGUAGGUCCUGAGCGUUGUCCGGAGUUAUUGGGCGUAAAGUAAGAAGAGGGAUGUAAAAGGCAGUGGCUCAACCAUUGUGUGCAUUGGAAACUGUUAGACUUGAGUGCAGUAGAGGAGAGUGGAAUUCCAUGUGUAGCGGUGAAAUGCGUAGAUAUAUGGAGGAACACCGGUGGCGAAAGCGGCUCUCUGGACUGUCACUGACACUGAGGCUCGAAAGCGUGGGUAGCAAACAGGAUUAGAUACCCCAGUAGUC